AGGUCACGCUCCUGCUGGAAUGUAGAAGGGGAAGGAUUCUGUAAAGCUUGCACCUGCACAUCCAAUAACAAACGGGUGAAAGCAAAGCUUCCGGCCUGAGUCCAUGAUUCCUCAACAUGAUGGUGAAAAUCAGGAUGUUUGGUGAGGUAGUUAAAGAAUUUGUAAGGUCUAGUUCCAGCGUUUGGGAGUUGGUAAGCAAGGUCCACAAGUCAGGGAGUGUGAUCAGAUGGCAUAGGAGGGAGAAAGGUAGCGGUAUUGUUGGGGGAAUAGCUGAGCCAGAGAUCAUUUACAAGAACCCGAUCAAGCUUCUUCGCAACUGGCGAUGUUGGUUGGUUGUUGGUCCAAGUAUAGAAGGGCCCCUGAAAUCUGAGAUCAAACAGUUCCACUUGAGAGAAGCAGUCCUUUAGUUCCGACAUCGAAGGCGUUAGCGAGUUUACAUUUGGCGAGGAAUGCUCUUUAAAGUGAAUUAUUUGGUUAAAAUCACCGCCAACGAUCCAAGGACAUGACUGAAGAGAGAACAAACUUUGGAUCUGAAGGAGUUCUACCCAAAGGUAAGUGUUUGCUUGGAUUGGUGCAUCACUUGGACAGUAGCCGGAUCCUUCCAAAUUACAAUGAUUCUCCCAUCCUCGUCGGACUGAUGAUUCGAGGAAUAAUUCCAUCUCGGGCAUACUCUUGCCAUAGUCAGGUUCAAAUUAAGAUCUUUAAUAUGUGUUUCCAAAAUUUCACCAAAAAGUGGCUUGUUAAUAUUAAGCCAAUUCCUAAAGGGCUGAUGCUUAUCCGGAUUAUUUAAACCACGUAUAUUCCGAAAAAAGUGGCGUGU